AGCGAACGCUGGCGGCAGGCUUAACACACGCAAGUCGAGCGGGCAUCCUCGUGGUGUCAGCGGCAGACGGGUGAGUAACGCGUGGGAACGUGCCCUUCGGUUCGGAAUAACUCAGGGAAACUUGAGCUAAUACCGGAUACGCCCUUUUGGGGAAAGGUUUACUGCCGAAGGAUCGGCCCGCGUCUGAUUAGCUAGUUGGUGAGGUUACGGCUCACCAAGGCGACGAUCAGUAGCUGGUCUGAGAGGAUGAUCAGCCACACUGGGACUGAGACACGGCCCAGACUCCUACGGGAGGCAGCAGUGGGGAAUAUUGGACAAUGGGGGCAACCCUGAUCCAGCCAUGCCGCGUGAGUGAUGACGGCCUUAGGGUUGUAAAGCUCUUUUCUCCGGGACGAUAAUGACGGUACCGGAGGAAUAAGCCCCGGCUAACUUCGUGCCAGCCGCCGCAGUAAAAC
rnacentral:rRNA from 1 species